UACGUAGGGUGCGAGCGUUGUCCGGAAUUACUGGGCGUAAAGAGCUCGUAGGCGGUGUGUCACGUCGGCCGUGAAAACCUGCAGCUUAACUGUGGGCGUGCGGUCGAUACGGGCAUCACUGGAGUUCGGCAGGGGAGACUGGAAUUCCUGGUGUAGCGGUGAAAUGCGCAGAUAUCAGGAGGAACACCGGUGGCGAAGGCGGGUCUCUGGGCAGUAACUGACGCUGAGGAGCGAAAGCGUGGGGAGCGAACAGG
rnacentral:rRNA from 1 species